CCGACCGUUAUCUGAACUCCCUGCACGCGUGGUAUGCCUCCACAGAGGUGGGACUGCUAAAGACCUUGCUCAGCCGGAAGAGGAGUGAAACUCAGGGGUGAAGGCUGGACUUUUGAGCAGUCUGCUUACCUUGUGAUCCCAUGCCCACCCAGCCAGUUCUGCCUCUGUGACCUCUGGGAAGGAGCAUCCCCAAGAAAUAUCUGGCCAGUCACAGACCCAGUUAGACCUGGACCAGAAAGCAGACGUGUUGAACCCCUGUGAUCGCCUAGGACUGUGACUCACCCAUAACUGAGAGUAUGAGAUCAAAGUCCCACCCUGCUGUUUACCAGCUGGGUCACCAUAAACAAGUCUCCAAGCCUAGAUUUCUUCAUCUAGCAAGGAGAGGGUUGAACUGAUGGCAUUCCACUUCUAGUUCUAACACUCUGAGAGCCAAAAAUCCAUGGAGGAAGAAGAACCUCACAGGCAGAAAGCUGGACAUGGGGCAGUCAAGGCAUUGCCAAGUAAGAGAUACUUACAGAUGCCAGGAUCACUGCAGGUGAGGGUCCCAUCUUCAGGGACCAGGUGGGAGUUGUACCUCUGGUUGGGCAGCACCUCUGUCAUCUCUCCUGCCCGCUGCCUCUCCCCCAUCUUGGUCUUCAGGAAGAUCCCAAAACCAACAUCCGCUCCAUCUGACAUAAACUGCCAUCUGCAGGGGACAUCACCAGUUUAUAACAUAAUUCUGUCUGUGUGUGCCCUCUCCGGGGUCCUGGCACCAGAGCUCGUCCUAUCCCAGCCCACCUAUCAGGACCUAUAGAUGAAAGCUCGGGUCUCCUGGAAGGGCCCAGGCCCCUACCUGAGGACACAGCCAGGGAAGAGGAUCUCAUACUCCACUUGGUGGGAGGAGCCACGGGAAAUCUGCACGCUGUGUUCAUACUGCUGUUUCACCUGGUCUCUCACAUAAUACUUCUUGGGGAUGUCACCCCCAUAGUUGAUCUAGAAGCAUGGCAUGGAGUGAACUGGAAUAUGCAUUUGAGCCAGGCAUCCCUGUUCACCUCCAGCCUCUGGUGGCUCAUACCUUGGAUUUGCACUUGGGGUUUCCAUCAGGGUCAGUCAUGGUGCCCCCAUACUCCACAGGCACCUGGUCAGGGCUGAUAUGUUUCAGUAAAACCUCCUUCCAAUUUGCUGGCAGGAGAGGGAAGGAAGGAUAGAGAUGUAUCUCAACACUAGGUAAGAUUUCACCAUAACCCUAGUGAUGUACACUGAAGAGGCAGAAAAAACCCAUUUAUCGCACCCC